rnacentral:rRNA from 1 species
UCAGCAUACUGCGGUGAAUACGUUCCCGGGCCUUGUACACACCGCCCGUCACACCAUGGAAGUUGGCCAUGCCCGAAGUCGUUACUUCAACCCGCAAGGGAGGAGGAUGCCGAAGGUGGGGCUGAUGACUGGGGUGAAGUCGUAACAAGGUAGCCGUACCGGAAGGUGCGGCUGGAUCACCUCCUAA